CUCCUCUCCAGUGAGGACACCGAUGUCAAUCCUUCAACUUUAGACAUAAACAUUAAUAUGCUAGGGAGCAAUAUAAGGAAAAUCUUCAGAGCAAUUCCUGGCAGAAAUCCUUGGAUGAAUGAUUUAAUAGUACGCCUGGGCAAUAGCUUCAGAAAUGGAGCUGCCUUCUCAAUCCCUUCAAUAUUUGCAAGGGACUGAACAAAUGCAAUCGGGAGCACAUAAAAGAAGUUCAGGAAGAAGAAUGCAACCGCAAUUAUCAGCCUCCUAAUUGUCAGGUAAACAAAAGGAAUAGAGAGGUUAUCCCAAUAGACAUCACGAGGUUCUGGGGCCCACUCGGUCAACCAGACAGUUGGAUUACUGGUUUGCUGUGUCUGAGCACACACUGCUGCUCCCCACCGCGAUCGGAAGGAAACAAAGGCUGCUGGCACAACUGAUUUUGGAUCCUUCAUAAUCUUUCCACAUAUUAUGACUUACUUCCUUUUCUAUCCUCUCAAUUUCAGAUGUGUAGUAUUCAAUAGCAUCCACCUUUGAACCAAAACAUCCAAGAAAACCAGUCUGGAAAAGAAGUAUAGAAAAAUAAGAAGAAUAAAUAAGGAAUCAUAAAUAAAAAUUAUUCUUUUUUGUUUUGAUAAAAACAACAAGAACUGUGUAAGAGAAACUGUAAAAUAUAAAUAUUACCUGGUGCGUAAGAUAAUGGUCAGGAUGGUUUACAAGGAAGAAAUGUUCCACAAGCUCACCAAUUGAUUCAUCAGGAUCAGGCGGUAUAUUCCGCACAAGGACCGUGAACUGAUCUGGGCGGCGCUUCUCUGAUGCAAGAAAGCGCAGACGCAUUGUUGCCACUAUUUCAUACUCCCGUAACAGCACAUAGCAUGUCCAAAAUGUGAAAACAUAAGCCAUGAAAAAUUAUCUGGUACUAACCUCUUUGACCCUACAGGUAUGUUGGAUAUUGAAAGUUUGUCAAUAUCACUGUGCUGCACCUUCGAGCUUUGAAGGGUAAUAUUGGUCCAAUUAACAGGCACAAGAAUAAUAAAUGCUAGAACUGUGAUUGGAGCAAAUAUUUUAAGCCUGCAACAUAGAUCCGCAGAUAGACAGCUGAAUCAAGGCCUGCAUGGCUAAUUAACUCAUCCUCUGGCAUUUUGAGAGCAGCAGGCAUCCAACUUAAGACCUUCAAGUAUGAUCGCAUGUCCAAAUUGACAAACUUCCGCACAAAUGCACCCCCAUGACUUGGACUCUCUCUUGCACCUUUGAGAUACCACUUUGGGAAGUAAACCCUAUCGUUGAUGGGCUGUAGUCGCAGGAAAGCAAACGCUAGCAGGAAAGUGAUGGCACUCAGUAUGUUGAUAGCUGCAGAGACACCUAUAUCUUGAAUAGUAGCCAUAUUUGU
rnacentral:sRNA from 1 species